UAGACAUGACCUGCUUUUGUAACAAAAUCCAGAAACCAGUGGCAUUGGCUCAGUGACUGGCCAGCAGAGGGGCAAAUACAACAGAGCGGGCUGGACGUUGGGGGAUGUCCGUGUACUGCAGCAGAUGUUCACCACGCUGUCCUGGGGGAACCUGGGAGGCAGAGCACGUAUCCCCUGAGCCUGGAGGGCUGGGGAAGUAGGGGCAACUGUGAGAGCAGUCGUGCACCGGCCACUGCUUCAGGAAGAAAGACAUACACUCAGGCGGAUUUGGAGAAGCCAGCAGCGGACUCCAGUCUCCCAAAGUGAUGACUGAGCAAGUUCAGAGAGGUCUUGAACCUCACCAAAUAUUUUAAACAACAGACACACUCCCCAUGUGAUGUGUGGGCUUCUUUAUUACAAAUGUUAGCCUCUUCCAAAUAGAAGAAACUUCUACCCUCAAAAUAAGCUACUUCUAACUCAGACCCAAUCAUCAUGAAGGCUUACGUGAUGAGACAAAUCAAGCUAAGGACGUCAGCUGAUCUUGGAGACUGGACGGAUAUACAGGAUAAUUCAAGGAUGUAAAGGAGAUUUUGUUGGUAGAAACCACUGGGUGCAGUGAGCACACUGGUUGAUUAUAGAACCUGGGCAUAAGGCUGACCAGGGUUGUGUAUGUUAAACAGCUAUAGUUUUAAAGUUUGUGGGCCACAGUAGUUGGUUGGGGGUGAAGGGUGGAGUGAAAAAGAUUAAAAGGUAAAUCAAUGUUAUGUCUUCAGUGAUACCUACGGAGCACCUCUCCACCCUCCCACUCCUUUUGUCCUUAUCAGGACACCUUGUUUAUUUCCAUUAUCACACUUGUACACAUUUGAAUUAUACGUCUACUAGCUGAAUUAAUUCUUCAUUGGUUUACCCAGUGUAAUGUGCCUCAUAAGGUCAACUUUUUAGUUUUCUUAAUCCUUGUGUCUAACAGAGUGUUUAGCACUGAGUGAGGGAAUACAUGAAUACACACAUGCACAGAUGCACGAACUGUGCUCAACCAUGGGACGUUUAACACUUUGGACCCUCCCCUGUUGCUUCCUGCCUCGUCCCCUGAUACUGCACGAGUGGCUGUCCCAUAUCUGAGUUGUGUGACUGGGUCCCUGAUUUACACAGUGAGAUCCCCACCCUAUCAUGCUCCCCCCUGCAGAGACUUGCCUGCCAUUCCGACCUUUGCUCAACAGCUUCCCCGUCUCUGCUGAGACAGAUACCGUUGCCUUUCUCCCCUUAAUUUAGAUGCUUUGUUCUUAGUACUUGCGCCCCUCUUUUCAUUCCUCAUCUAUCUUCAAUUCACCAUCUAGUGUGUUGGCAACCCAUAUAACUGACCCUUGUUUCAUACCCAGGUCCAAGAUCACAUAUCUUAGCAGUGAAUGUGAAUCCAAGUGUGCCCAGAGGGCGCUGUCUCUGAGCCUUCUCGCUCCAAAUUUCCUUAGUAUUCAGGCUCAGCUCCUAAGCUAGUAUGGCUCAUAUCAAACACGCACCCUUUAUGAAAUAAAAAUAAAACUCUUUAAAAACAAGGAGAAAUGAUUUAAAAAAUAUUUUAGUGCUGAAAGAAAAAGUGAUGCCAAUAAUUAGCCACUAACCUCAGAGAAGGGCUUGGGGAGGCUAGGAAUUGUGUGUGUAUUCCCGAUAUCACACCCAGUCCCCAACACCGUGCUAUGCAUGACAAGUGCUCAAUAAAUAUUUCCCUAUGGGUUGUUCA